AUUGAACGCUGGCGGCAGGCUUAACACAUGCAAGUCGAACGGUAACAGAGAAUAGCUUGCUAUUUUGCUGACGAGUGGCGGACGGGUGAGUAAUGCUUGGGAACUUGCCCUAACGUGGGGGACAACAGUUGGAAACGACUGCUAAUACCGCAUAAUGUCUUCGGACCAAAGGUGGCCUCUAUUUAUAAGCUAUCGCGUUAGGAUGGGCCCAAGUGGGAUUAGCUAGUUGGUGAGGUAAUGGCUCACCAAGGCGACGAUCCCUAGCUGGUCUUAGAGGAUGACCAGCCACACUGGAACUGAGACACGGUCCAGACUCCUACGGGAGGCAGCAGUGGGGAAUAUUGCACAAUGGAGGAAACUCUGAUGCAGCCAUGCCGCGUGUGUGAAGAAGGCUUUCGGGUUGUAAAGCACUUUCAGCGAGGAGGAAAG
rnacentral:rRNA from 1 species